rnacentral:lncRNA from 1 species
UAUAUUGUGCAAAAUUUACCACACUACCCACUGAGGGUCAUCUAAGAUUCCUAAGUAACUAUACGUAGCAAACAUCUGCACCGUGGGCUGAUUAAAAUAUUUAGUUGUAGGAGAAAGUUAUCUCGAUGCCGAGUUUAUAAUUUUAAAGGAAGACUCAGGCCAGACAGCUAAACGUGGAAGAGGGUGGCAUGGCAAGUUGCCUAAUGCUCCUUUUGGCACACCAGAAUUUGGAAGGAACUGAACAUCUUCUCAGAAAGGGAAAGCCAAUGAUAUCUUCGACAACAACAAAAAUACCAUAUAUAUUAGAAGAUGUUGAAAAUAGUGUUCUACAGAUUGAACAUGUAUUGAAAUAAUUUGAAAUUUGAAAUGAUCUGCAGGUGACGUGAAGCACCACUACUUCCUGCUAACACUUAAUCCUUGGGCUCAGGCUGGAAGAAACAUUGAAAGCAGGGUGUAUUUUCCAGGACUCUGAGAGGGCAGGUCCUGGACUCCUACUUCCAAAAUUGGUAAAUACCUCUAGGGAAAAGUAGCCCCAAAUGCCAAGGUCUUCU